rnacentral:lncRNA from 1 species
UGUAAGUCAUUGUGAGAAGGUAUAGGAGUUGUAAGUCAUUGUGAUGAGGUAUAGGAGUUGUAAGUCAUUGUGAUGAGGUAUAGGAGCUGUAAGUUAUUGUGAGAAGGUACAGGAGUUGUAAGUCAUUGUGAGAAGGUAUAGGAGCUGUAAGUCAUUGUGAGAAGGUAUAGGAGUUGUAAAUCAUUGUGAUGAGGUAUAGGAGCUGUAAGUCAUUGUGAGAAGGUAUAGGAGUUGUAAGUCAUUGUGAGAAGGUAUAGGAGUUGUAAGUCAUUGUGAGAAGGUAUAGGAGUUGUAAGUCAUUGUGAGAAGGUAUAGGAGUUGUAAGUCAUUGUGAUGAGGAAUAGGAGUUGUAAAUCAUUGUGAUGAGGUAUAGGAGUUGUAAGUCAUUGUGAUGAGAUAUAGGAGUUGUAAAUCCUUGUGAUGAGGUAUUGGAGUUGUAAAUCAUUGUGAUGAGGUAUAGGAGUUCUAAAUCAUUGUGAUGAGGUAUAGGAGCUGUAAGUCAUUGUGAGAAGGUAUAGGAGUUGUAAGUCGUUGUGAGAAGGUAUAGGAGCUGUAAGUCGUUGUGAGAAUGUAUAAGAGCUGUAAGUCAUUGUGAGAAGGUAUAGGAGUUGAAAGUCAUUGUGAUGAGGGAUAGGAGUUGUAAGUCAUUGUGAGAAGGUAUAGGAGCUGUAAAUCAUUGUGAUGAGGUUGUCGUGUCUUUGGCUAUGCCGGAUUAAGUGAUAUGACAUGCUAAAUUAUAAAAUGAUUUCUCUGUAAUUAAUAUUACCUGAUUAAGCUAAUCAUGUAAAUGUAAUUAACUAGAAAGUCGGGGCACCACGGAAGAACGUUUAUAGAGCUGUUAUCUUCCGAAUAAACUCUUAAAAUACUUUGUAAUAUUUUACAUCGAUAGCAGUCAAUAUUAACCCUUGUCUUAUUUUCAGUCUCAUAAUGAAAGUUGUAAAUUCUUGGUUAUCUUCACGAACCCUGGCUAACAAGUUGAAUCAGCAAUACAAAGAAUACAAUGAUGUCAUACAGAAAACGUCCUGGUGGACGGAACCUGUAUGAAAGCUGGUUCCACAAAGGAAAGGGGGUUGGGCUUGAAUGAAAGAGCGGGAAGAUUUAGGAACAGAGAAACAGCAGCUAUGCUAUUGUAAAUACAUUAUCUUAUGCAUUCUAAAUUACCGCCCAUUUGGAAAAGGAAAAUGCAAUAAAUAUUUACUCUGAGCUGCGC